rnacentral:tRNA from 1 species
CAGGGAGACAACAAAAUGUUUAAUAUUAUUAUUUUGUCACCUUAGGUCGAUCGGUACCUCACAUUUUUAAUUUAUUAAAAAUUUCAUUUCCUAAGUUUUUCUAGGCCACACCCAUUAUUUUCCUGGGCCAUUAGCUCAGGUGGUUAGAGCGCACCCCUGAUAAGGGUGAGGUCCCUGGUUCAAGUCCAGGAUGGCCCAUAUCUCUAUGUUGGGGGUAUAGCUCAGUUGGUAGAGCGCCUGCUUUGCAAGCAGGAUGUCAGCGGNUCCAGUCCCCUUACCUCCACUGAUUACCACCUCUUCCAUAAAAUGUAGAAGGGAAAUGUUUGAGUUGUGAUCACUUUCUGAACGAAUCUAGCUUCCUAAUGUAAUCAUUAAGAUGCUGGACUCAUUGAAUUAAUUUCAUUGAUUUCAGAGAACCUUGACAACUGCAUAGAUUAUUUUUAAAGACAAUAAGCAUCUUUAAUGAUGCAGAUUUAUUAUUUGUGCGAAUGCAUUAAUAACAAUUCUAUUAAGCUGAUGCUUCAAUUUUGAAGUUAUU